CCCCUCAGGCCCGCUCUAAGAGCCGAAGCCGGGCCUCGGCGCAUGCCUCAAGCGGACGCUGAGCGCGCGGCCGGCCUCGGGCGGGCUGGGCAGCCCGGAGCUCGGCUGUCGGCCUUUAGAAACUCAUCUUCACUGCCAGAUGUUGAUGUUCUUCAAGAAUCAGUCCCUUGGAGGUGAAUCAGCAAAAAUGGUGAAUACAGAACUCCCAAGGACCCAUCCCUUCAUAUAAACAGCAAAUAAACUAGCACAACCUGUCAGAAUCAAA